CGAAUUAGCUCAGCUGGUAGAGCAACCGCCUUGUAAGCGGUAGGUCAUCCGUUCGAGUC
rnacentral:tRNA from 1 species